rnacentral:lncRNA from 1 species
UGCGGAUGGGGAUUCCCCAAUAGAUUCUACAGAUUCGGAUUUGGAUGCCCCUGCGCAUAAACAUAUGGAUAGGGAUGCCGAUUCAGAUGCGGCGUCAAAGGCUCGUUUGAGUGAUUCAUAAACCCUCGUCGGGAUAAACAAGCAAGGGUUUCAUCCUCUACUUAUGGGAAUGCUACUUCGAGAAAUGCUGCUUCAGGAUAAACUAGAUAUGUUGCGAGAGAAACUGGAUAUUUUCCUAUGGCUUGGACCCUUUCACUCGAGAACUCAAAGGGGGGAAAGAAUUCUUCAACAUAGUCACAAGAAGGUGGUCUACGACCAUUAGAUCCCU